CCUGCCCUUAUCAACUUUCGACGGUAGGGUAGUGGCCUACCGUGGUGGUAACGGGUGACGGAGGAUUAGGGUUCGAUUCCGGAGAGGGAGCCUGAGAAACGGCUACCACAUCCAAGGAAGGCAGCAGGCGCGCAAAUUACCCAAAUCCCAACUCGGGGAGGUAGUGACAAGAAAUAACGAUGCUCCGGCCAUCGGUCGGGUAAUCGGAAUGAGGACAAUUUAAAUCCCUUAUCGAGGAUCAAUUGGAGGGCAAGUCUGGUGCCAGCAGCCGCGGUAAUUCCAGCUCCAAUAGCGUAUAUUUAAGUUGCUGCGGUUAAAAAGCUCGUAGUCGGAUUUCGGGUGGUGCCUACCGGUCCGCCCUUGGUGUGUACUGGUAGGCGCCACCUUUCUGCCGAGGACGGGUUCCUGGGCUUAGCUGUCUGGGGCCCGGAGUCGGCGAUGUCACUUUGAGUAAAUUAGGGUGUUUAAAGCAGGCUUAUGCUCUGUAUACACUAGCAUGGGAUGACACGAUAGGACUUCGGUCUAUCUUGUCGGUCUGUAGAUCGGAGUAAUGAUUAAGAGGGACAGUCGGGGGCAUUCGUAUUUCGUAGUCAGAGGUGAAAUUCUUGGAUUUACGGAAGACGAACUUCUGCGAAAGCAUUUGCCAAGGAUGUUUUCAUUGAUCAAGAACGAAAGUCGGGGGCUCGAAGACGAUUAGAUACCGUCGUAGUCUCGACCAUAAACGAUGCC
rnacentral:rRNA from 1 species